rnacentral:rRNA from 1 species
AUUGAACGCUGGCGGCAGGCCUAACACAUGCAAGUCGAACGGUAACAGGAAGACGCUUGCUUCUUUGCUGACGAGUGGCGGACGGGUGAGUCAUGUCUGGGAAACUGCCUGAUGGAGGGGGAUAACUACUGGAAACGGUAGCUAAUACCGCAUAAUGUCGCAAGCCCAAAGAGGGGGACCUUCGGGCCUCUUGCCAUCGGCUGUGCCCAGAUGGGAUUAGCUAGUAGGUGGGGUAACGGCUCACCUAGGCGACGAUCCCUAGCUGGUCUGAGAGGAUGACCAGCCACACUGGAACUGAGACACGGUCCAGACUCCUACGGGAGGCAGCAGUGGGGAAUAUUGCACAAUGGGCGCAAGCCUGAUGCAGCUAUGCCGCGUGUAUGAAGAAGGCCUUCGGGUUGUAAAGUACGUUCAGCGGGGAGGAAGGGAGUAAAGUUAAUACCUUUGCUCAUUGACGUUACCCGCAGAAGAAGCACCGGCUAACUCCGUG